rnacentral:rRNA from 1 species
GACGAACGCUGGCGGCAUGCCUAACACAUGCAAGUCGAACGAGACCUUCGGGUCUAGUGGCGCACGGGUGCGUAACGCGUGGGAACCUGCCCUUAGGUUCGGAAUAACUCCCCGAAAGGGGUGCUAAUACCGGAUAAUGUCUUCGGACCAAAGAUUUAUCGCCUUUGGAUGGGCCCGCGUUGGAUUAGCUAGUUGGUAGGGUAAAAGCCUACCAAGGCGACGAUCCAUAGCUGGUCUGAGAGGAUGAUCAGCCACACUGGGACUGAGACACGGCCCAGACUCCUACGGGAGGCAGCAGUGGGGGAUAUUGGACAAUGGGCGAAAGCCUGAUCCAGCAAUGCCGCGUGAGUGAUGAAGGCCUUAGGGUUGUAAAGCUCUUUUACCCGGGAUGAUAAUGACAGUACCGGGAGAAUAAGCUCCGGCUAACUCCGUG